UGAGGAAUCUUCCACAAUGGGCGAAAGCCUGAUGGAGCAACGCCGCGUGCAGGAUGAAGGCCUUCGGGUCGUAAACUGCUUUUAUAAGUGAAGAAUAUGACGGUAACUUAUGAAUAAGGAUCGGCUAACUACGUGCCAGCAGCCGCGGUCAUACGUAGGAUCCGAGCGUUAUCCGGAGUGACUGGGCGUAAAGAGUUGCGUAGGCGGUUAGUAAAGCGAAUAGUGAAACCUGGUGGCUCAACCAUACAGACUAUUAUUCGAACUCACUAACUCGAGAGUAGCAGAGGUAACUGGAAUUUCUUGUGUAGGAGUGAAAUCCGUAGAUAUAAGAAGGAACACCAAUGGCGUAGGCAGGUUACUGGGCUAUUUCUGACGCUAAGGCACGAAAGCGUGGGGAGCGAACCGG
rnacentral:rRNA from 1 species